rnacentral:rRNA from 1 species
CCGUACUUGUACGGUAUUGCAUGUAUGCCAUGAAUAAGCAUCGGCUAACUCCGUGCCAGCAGCCGCGGUAAUACGGAGGAUGCAGGCGUUAUCCGGAUUUAUUAGGUUUAAAGGGUGUUCAGGCUGCCUGGUAAGUCAGGGGUGAAAGUCGGUUGCUCAACGAUCGAAUUGCCUUUGAAACUUGUCAGGCUCGAGUAUGGAUGCGGUAGGCGGAAUUGUGUAGUGUAAGCGGUGAAAUGCCUAGAUAUUACACCAGAACACCGAUUGCGAAUGCAGCUUACCAAACCAGCACUGACGCUGAAGCACGAAAGCGUGGGGAGCGAACAGGAUUAGAUACCCUGGUAGUCCACGCCGUAGACUUUGCUCACUCGCUGUUGGCGAUAGACAGUCAGCGGCCCAGGGGAACCGAUAAUGUGAGCCACCUGGGGAAGUACGGCCCGCAAGGGUUGAACUUCAAGGGAAUUGACGGUUGCCCGCACAAGCGGUGGAACAUGUGGUUUAAUUCGAUGAUACGCGAGGAACAUUACCUGGGCUUAAAUGUGAAGUGCAUUGAUUGGAAACAAUCAUUUCCUUCGGGACCGUUUACAAGGUGCUGCAUGGUUGUCGUCAGCUCGUGCCGUGAGGUGUCGGGUUAAGUCCCAUAACGAGCGCAACCCCUAUUGUUAGUUACC